rnacentral:rRNA from 1 species
UCCGGGGUGCGCGGCGGCGACUCUGGACGUGCGCCGGGCCCUUCUCGCGGAUCUCCCCAGCUACGGCUCGCGUCGGGCCCCUCGCCUCGUCUCGGCUUCACGGCUGGGGCGGACGGGGGUCUACCGGGCUCCUCGGCCGGCGCCUAGCAGCCGACUCAG